UGGUGAACUAUGCCUGAAUAGGGUGAAGCCAGAGGAAACUCUGGUGGAGGCUCGCAGCGGUUCUGACGUGCAAAUCGAUCGUCAAAUUUGGGCAUAGGGGCGAAAGACUAAUCGAACUAUCUAGUAGCUGGUUCCCUCCGAAGUUUCCCUCAGGAUAGCUGGAACUUAUACAGUUUUAUCAGGUAAAGCUAAUGAUUAGACGUUCCGGGCUAGAAACUAGCUUGACGUAUUCUCAAACUUUAAAUAGGUAAGAAGUCUUGUGUUACUUAAUUGAACCGAGACAUUGAAUGGAAGUUCUUAGUGGGCCAUUUUUGGUAAGCAGAACUGGCGAUG
rnacentral:rRNA from 1 species